rnacentral:lncRNA from 1 species
ACUUUGACUAGUAGAAGGUGGAAGUGAUAUUAUGCCAGGUCCAGACUUAGGCCUUAGGAGGCCUGGCAGUUUCCAUUUUCACCCUCUUGGGAUCCAGCCACUAUGAAACCAAGUUCACCUGCUUUAUUGGAGAGAGAAAUGACCUAGAAGAUGAAAGACAGCAAAGGGAGAGCAGGAUGCCCAGCCAGCCACCAGCCAUUCUGACCCCUUCAGCUGAGGCACUGCAUGGACAGCGCUGGGGAGAAUGAACGCCUGAGUACUCAUGUCUUUAUGCACUGUAGUAUUAUUUCCUUACAACAGACUCCUGAACCUGGAACGGCAGUGUCAAAGGGUUCACAAAAUGUUAGACUUCUGAAGCAAAUCAGAUGGCACCUUUUUUGAAUAAUGAAGAAUCUUUACCCCUGGCAUGAGGAGCUGAGGACAACUCCCACUCCACGAUGUGAAGCCACAGAGUUUCGAGGCCCCAGGACCUCCAGCGUCAAUGUUGUGGGAUGAUGGGUGACAGAGCCAAAGCAUCGCCAUCUUGGACAAGCACGGUCAUUCUGAAGUUCCCCUUGAUCAAAAACUGCCUAAACCCAAAGGAUAUCAGCCUGAUGGCUAAGGUCAGCAUGACCAUAAACCAUAAAUAACAUCUCUGACCAGGAACAUUCCAAACCCCUCCAUGAGACAUGCCAGCCCUGAGAUAACCUCCCCUCCGGCCAGAAAGAUGUCAGACCCAAGAUAACCUCCCCUCCGACCAGAGACAUCCCAACCCUGCCAUAAACUUCUCCCCCACACAGAAACAUUCUGAGCUUGUAAUAAGCCCCCUCAUCCUAAAACCAAUAUAUACUCUUAGUCCGUAAGAGAAAGUGCUCCUGAACAAAAUUGGCCAGAAGCCCCUCUCCGGCUUAUUUUCUCUAAAAUACAUCUGUCGUUAAAUUGAGCCACAGUUCGUGUUUCUUCCCUCUUUCUUUAACUCUUACAAUGGGAAGCAAACUUUUUUAGUGGGUUAUUAGGAAUAAUAGUGAAAAGCAUAAUUCUCCUCUCCAGGCCUUGCUUCCUGGACCCACACAUCUCACCUGUGGGGAAGAUGGAACCAUAUAUUGGCCACUGGUUUAAUGUACAAGAUGUGUCUCCAGUCCCAAUGGUAGACAUCCUAUAGCCAAGACUCCAUCCAAUUGCCUGACCUCCACAUGUCCCUACUCUGACUGGAACCUUGUGGGUAGUUUAGGUCUCUGAGGAUCAGUCAAGCUCAGAGCAAGAUUGAAUAACCCCUGGAAGGUGUGGAUAUUCCUAUUUCCCCAGGAUCAGAGGCAUAUUUACCAUAAAGCUAAUGAUGCUUAUGCUUCAAGACUGCUCACUUACUAAAGCCCUGGUGUUAACAUGAUCAUAUGCAUUUAUAAAAUUUGCAAACAUAAAAAA